GAUGAACGCUGGCGGCGUGCUUAACACAUGCAAGUCGAACGAUGAAGCCCAGCUUGCUGGGUGGAUUAGUGGCGAACGGGUGAGUAACACGUGAGCAACCUGCCCCUGACUCUGGGAUAAGCGCUGGAAACGGCGUCUAAUACUGGAUAUGUCCUGUCACCGCAUGGUGUGCGGGUGGAAAGAUUUUUCGGUUGGGGAUGGGCUCGCGGCCUAUCAGCUUGUUGGUGAGGUAAUGGCUCACCAAGGCGUCGACGGGUAGCCGGCCUGAGAGGGUGACCGGCCACACUGGGACUGAGACACGGCCCAGACUCCUACGGGAGGCAGCAGUGGGGAAUAUUGCACAAUGGGCGGAAGCCUGAUGCAGCAACGCCGCGUGAGGGAUGACGGCCUUCGGGUUGUAAACCUCUUUUAGCGGGGAAGAAGCGAAAGUGACGGUACCUGCAGAAAAAGCACCGGCUAACUACGUG
rnacentral:rRNA from 1 species